AAUUAUUUUCUGAAGAAAGAGAGACUCUUCUCUAAGGAUAGCCAAAAGCAUACUGUGUAGGACAUUAAUCUGCAGUGGUGAAUGGUAUCUAAAUCCCUUCCUCAUGGUUCUGUCAUUGGAAUGACCCAACCACCAACCUUUUCUGGGGGUUAUAGACUAUUUCUAUGUCAACAGGUACUGUCAAGCCCAAUGAAGUCCCAGGUUUGCAGGCAACCUCAAGAGAUGCUGAAAUAUCUGAGCACACUGAUAGUUCUGAAAGUACAUUCUGCAGAGGAAUGGUGAUUUUACAGUGAAGAACACAUUAUGUGACCAUGAUUUCUGCCCUAGAUGGUGCAGGAUAUUCGUGAGACAACUGAAGUUUAAUGGAAUAACGCACAUAAAAAUAUUUUAGUCUGUUAAUGUGAAGCAUAUUCAUGAUGCUCUAAGGAAUUUGAAACAAUUGUUAGAUUUUUCACAUUGAAAAUAUACUUGUUACUGUGUUGUAUAUCCAUUGAAUAUUCUAAUUUUUCACAAACUGCCUUGUCCAUUAUCUAAUUUCUGUAACAAUCUGUCGGUAGAAGUUACAAUAAUACAAAUAUCAGAUCUACUUUGGCUAUAAAAAUAAUUAUUGUCUUAUUUAUUUGUGUUAGAAUUUAAUGCUUUAAGGAUGAAACAUAGGAGCAAUUGCUUUCUAACGUCACUGCAUACCAGUAACAUUCCAAAGUCUUUUACAGCUUAUAAUCCCUACUGAAGCAAUUAGUUUACUAAUAAUACUGAAGCAAUAAGUUACAGUAUCUACCUACAGAAACCAAUAUGAAUACAACUGCUUUAUGAUGUAGAGAAUCAUAACCUAGACAAGCAGAUCAUCUAAGUAGAUUCAGUUCUGAGGGUCAUAGGCAGUAUUUUCGAGAGCAUGCAAGUCCUUUAGGAGCUUCAGGCUGGAAAUAUUUUCUAAAAUUGAAUUCCUGAAUCAUACAGAUGUGUUUAAGUAAAUUUGCUUUAUUAUUCAAGACAUGCAUCCUGACGUAUGUUUUGCCUUCAAAUAUGUUCAAACAAAAUUUAAAUAUCAAUAAACAAUUCAUGGGAUGGAAAAGCGGGGUUUACAUUUUAACCUGCUUAAGGUUCUAGAAAAACUAGUUAGGGAUUUCUUAGCAGUCUCUAAAUAGCAGUAUGUGUUGAUGUCCAUUGAGACCACUCAAGAGUAUUUUGCUAAAGUGUUAUAAUCUAACCUCAGCAAUUUUUCUGUGGAAACAGAGUUUGGACUGGCAUACCCAAAUGUGUUGUUUUAUACAUAAAUCUGAUUUAUGACUGAAAUUGUUCUAACCUACACAUUCUACUGAUGGCUAGUUUGUUCCUCCAGUAAAUUAACCUGUUGAUCUC
ensembl:lncRNA